UACAGAGGUCCCAAGCGUUGUUCGGAUUCACUGGGCGUAAAGGGUGCGUAGGUGGUCGGGUAAGUCUGAUGUGAAAGCUCUGGGCUCAACCCAGAAAUGGCAUUGGAUACUAUCUGGCUAGAGGAAUGGAGGGGGGGACUGGAAUACUUGGUGUAGCAGUGAAAUGCGUAGAUAUCAAGUGGAACACCGGUGGCGAAGGCGGCCUUCUGGACGGAUACUGACGCUGAUACGCGAAAGCGUGGGGAGCAAACAGG
rnacentral:rRNA from 1 species